AUGAACGCUUAGCGACAGGCCUAACACAUGCAAGUUCGAGGGGCAGCACAGAGGUAGCUUGCUACUUUGGGUGGCGACCGGCGCACGGGUGCGUAACAGGUGUGCAAUCUGUCCAUAAUCGGGGGAAUUAGCCCAGCCGAAAAGUUGGAUUAAUGCUCCAUGUGAGUAAGAGAGGCAUCUCUUUUAUUUGAAACGCCAAGGGAUUAUGGGUGAGCACGCUUCUGAUUAGGUAGUUGGUGAGGUAACGGCUCACCAAGCCGACGAUCAGUAGGGGGUUCCUGAGAGGAAGGUCCCCCACAUUGGAACUGAGACACGGUCCAAACUCCUACGGGAGGCAGCAGUGAGGAAUAUUGGUCAAUGGGCGUAAGCCUGAACCAGCCAAGUAGCGUGAAGGAUGACUGCCCUACGGGUUGUAAACUUCUUUUGUAUGGGAAUAAAGUUCAGUACGUGUACUGUUUUGUAUGUACCAUACGAAUAAGCAUCGGCUAAUUCCGUG
rnacentral:rRNA from 1 species